rnacentral:rRNA from 1 species
GACGAACGCUGGCGGCGUGCUUAACACAUGCAAGUUGAACGGAGGCAUAUCAUCACGACUUUUCGGAGGAGAGAUGAUGUGUUCUUAGUAGCGGACGGGUGAGUAAUGCAUGAGAACCUGUCCUUCAGAGGGGGACAACAGUUGGAAACGGCUGCUAAUACCCCAUAUGCCGAGAGGUGAAAGGAGUAAUCCGCUGAAGGAGGGGCUCAUGUCCUAUCAGUUAGUUGGUGAGGUAAAGGCUUACCAAGGCGAUGACGGGUAGCCGGCCUGAGAGGGUGACCGGCCACAUUGGAACUGAGAUACGGUCCAGACUCCUACGGGAGGCAGCAGUGGGGAAUAUUGGGCAAUAGGCGCAAGCCUGACCCAGCGACGCCGCGUGAGGGAAGAAGGCCUUUGGGUCGUAAACCUCUGUUGUAUGGGAAGAAGGAAGUGACGGUACCAUACGAGGAAGUCCCGGCUAACUACGUGCCAGCAGCCGCGGUAAUACGUAGGGGACGAGCGUUGUCCGGAAUUACUGGGCGUAAAGGGCGCGCAGGCGGAUAUUUAAGUCAGCUGUAAAAGGCAUGAGCUCAACUCAUGUAUGCGGUUGAAACUGGGUAUUUAGAGUGCUGGAGAGGUAGGCGGAAUUCCCGGUGUAGCGGUGAAAUGCGUAGAUAUCGGGAAGAACACCAGUGGCGAAGGCGGCUUACUGGCCAGCAACUGACGCUGAGGCGCGAAAGCCAGGGGAGCGAACG